AUUGAACGCUGGCGGCAUGCUUUACACAUGCAAGUCGAACGGCAGCACGGGGGCAACCCUGGUGGCGAGUGGCGAACGGGUGAGUAACACAUCGGAACGUGUCCAGUUGUGGGGGAUAACCCAUCGAAAGGUGGGCUAAUACCGCAUGAGCUGGCAACAGGAAAGCGGGGGACCCGCAAGGGCCUUGUGCGAUUGGAGCGGCCGAUGUCCGAUUAGCUAGUUGGUGGGGAAAGGCCUACCAAGGCUUCGAUCGGUAGCUGGUCUGAGAGGAUGAUCAGCCACACUGGGACUGAGACACGGCCCAGACUCCUACGGGAGGCAGCAGUGGGGAAUUUUGGACAAUGGGGGCAACCCUGAUCCAGCCAUGCCGCGUGAGUGAAGAAGGCCUGG
rnacentral:rRNA from 1 species